rnacentral:rRNA from 1 species
UUGACCUCGGAUCAGGUAGGAAUACCCGCUGAACUUAAGCAUAUCAAUAAGCGGAGGAAAAGAAACCAACAGGGAUUGCCCCAGUAACGGCGAGUGAAGCGGCAACAGCUCAGAUUUGAAAUCCGGCCUCGGCCCGAGUUGUAAUCUGUAGGGGAUGUCCCUGGCGCGGCGCCUACCGAGUUCCCUGGAACGGGACGCCAUAGAGGGUGAGAGCCCCGUAUGGUUGGACGCCAAGCCUCUGUGGGACUCCUCCGACGAGUCGAGUAGUUUGGGAAUGCUGCUCUAAUUGGGAGGUAAAUCUCUUCUAAAGCUAAAUACCGGCCAGAGACCGAUAGCGCACAAGUAGAGUGAUCGAAAGAUGAAAAGCACCUUGGAAAGGGGGUUAAACAGCACGUGAAAUUGUUGAAAGGGAAGCGCCCAUGACCAGACUCGCGCCGGGCGGAUCAUCCAGCGUUCUCGCUGGUGCACUCCGCCCGGUACGGGCCAGCAUCGGUUUUCGCGGGGGGAUAAGAGCGGCGGGAACGUGGCCCCUCCGGGGGUGUUAUAGCCCGCCGCACGAUGCCCUCUUGGAGACCGAGGUUCGCGCUCUGCAAGGAUGCUGGCAUAAUGGUCAUCGGCGACCCGUCUUGAAACACGGACCAAGGAGUCGUCCAUUACGGCGAGCGUUUGGGUGUCAAACCCCUACGCGUAAUGAAAGUGAACGCAGGUGAGAGCUUCGGCGCAUCAUCGACCGAUCCUGAUGUACUCGGAUGGAUUUGAGUAAGAGUCGUACCGGACGGACCCGAAAGAUGGUGAACUAUGCCUGUAUAGGGUGAAGCCAGAGGAAACUCUGGUGGAGGCUCGCAGCGGUUCUGACGUGCAAAUCGAUCGUCAAAUAUGGGCAUGGGGGCGAAAGACUAAUCGAACCAUCUAGUAGCUGGUUACCGCCGAAGUUUCCCUCAGGAUAGCAGUGUUGUUCUCAGUUUUAUGAGGUAAAGCGAAUGAUUAGGGACUCGGGGGCGCUCUUUAGCCUUCAUCCAUUCUCAAACUUUAAAUAUGUAAGAAGCCCUUGUUGCUUAAUUGAACGUGGGCAUUCGAAUGUACCAACACUAGUGGGCCAUUUUUGGUAAGCAGAACUGGCGAUGCGGGAUGAACCGAACGCGGGGUUAAGGUGCCGGAGUGGACGCUCAUCAGACACCACAAAAGGCGUUAGUACAUCUUGACAGCAGGACGGUGGCCAUGGAAGUCGGAAUCCGCUAAGGACUGUGUAACAACUCACCUGCCGAAUGUACUAGCCCUGAAAAUGGAUGA